ACCAUCUCUCCCAGAUAUAUUGAUUCUGUCGUACAAAUAAAACCCUUUGCCCAAAUUUCAUUAAAUUCAUCAAAUCCAUCGAAUCCUUUUCCCAAGUAGAUUUUCUUAGCUCAAAUUCAUCGAUUCAUCAAAUUCCUCUAAUAUUUUUGCUCAAAAUACUCAAAUUUCAACUCGAUGGCUCAAUAUGUAAUCUUUAAGCUCAGUUCAGUGAUGAGAACAACAAUUUCAGUGACUAGAGUGGAAAUUUCUGCUUAGCUAAGGGACUAGAGUGGAAAUUUCAUCUCAAGUAGUGAUUAGAGCAGAAAUAAUAGUGAAAAUUUUAACUUCACUUCCAUUUACUUAUUGUAUAAUUAGUCACCCAUUUCGUUUUUCAGUGGAAGAAGAACGGUAGUAGCCAUCAACUCUCAGGCAGUGUUCCAUAUAUCUCACAACUCUCCGGUAGGUAGGAUUCCAUAUAUCUCACAAAUUUCUGAUAGGGUUUCUAAAAAUUUUGCAUCUUCUUAUCCUUCGAGUUAAAUUUCUGCUUAAUUUUUAACAUAUUUUAAUAGAUUUAUAUAUAGGAAUUGUUUAGUUCUAGUCGUUUCUAUUUCUACUUGGUUUCAACUUUGUGGAUCUGAAGCUAUUAGAUUAAGAACUAAUAUGGGUCAAUUGUAGUUCUACUUACUUUUAUGUCUUGUAAUUGAGUUUAUAUUUUUCUUUUUAUGAACAUUGCUAUAAGAGCUCUUUAACUUUGUAUUCAAUGGGUUUCUUUGUUCUUCUUUAUUGGAUUUUGGUAGUUUUUAGUAAGGUUUAUUUGAAAUAAUACAAGAGCAAUCAAGAAAUUAAAUUAUGUCUGUGGUUGCAAAUUUGUCCAUACAGUUGUGCAAUGUAUCUAUAAAUAGUUCUAGGUGGCCUGAACUUUUAAAGUUAAAAGUAGGUCAAUUUGAUGAGGGGCUGGCACAUCACGGGGAUGAAUUUUCCUUAUAUUUACCAUUUUUGAAAUAUACACAUCCCAAAUAUGGUUAUCUUAAUCUCGCUCUAUGACUUCUUGAUAACUAUUCAAAACCACAUUUGGAGCCUAAGGAAUACAUUGCUUAUGGGUUUUCGAAGGAGCUUAGACGUGGAGGCUCAGUCAUCAAGCUACAGUAUUCUGUAACUGAUAUGGUAAGAUCUUAAAUUAGAGGAAUAUCUCAGGAAGCACUUCGAGGAAUUUAGGAACAUAUAUGGCUUAUCGUUGGCGGAGAAGUAGAUUGAUAAAUGUUAUGGGUUUUAUGGAGUGUCCCAACGUCUCCUUCUAGCUCUGGAACAUUAGCUCUGCACACUGCUGAGUUAGCUGAUUUGUAGCUAUAGACUUCAAUUUAGCUUCAUUAGUCUUUAGCUUUUCUAUCUCAUUACCCAUACUGUCCACUUUUAUUAAAAGCGUAGUUAGGGUGUUAAGUAUUUUUUCUAGAGUAUCUUCUUCUAUUAAUUCUGUCUGUGUAGCUUUGUCUUGAUAUGUAAUCUGCAAUAACAUUUUUGUUAGUACUGAUCACUUUAAUUGUAAAUGUGAAAUUUAAUAUAUUUAAAACUAGUCUCC